rnacentral:rRNA from 1 species
CCUACGGGACGCAGCAGUGGGGAAUAUUGCACAAUGGGCGAAAGCCUGAUGCAGCAACGCCGCGUGAAGGAAGAAGGGUUUCGGCUCGUAAACUUCUAUCAACAGGGACGAAAGAAAUGACGGUACCUGAAUAAGAAGCCCCGGCUAACUACGUGCCAGCAGCCGCGGUAAUACGUAGGGGGCAAGCGUUAUCCGGAUUUACUGGGUGUAAAGGGAGCGUAGACGGAAAGGCAAGUCAGAAGUGAAAGCCCAAGGCUCAACCAUGGGACUGCUUUUUAAACUGUCAAACUAGAG